AUGAAAUCAAGGCCGAAGUCUCAAAAUCCACCGUCUGACCUGGUUGUGCCCAUAUUUCUUUUUGUUACCAAGGAUUUCUACUUGAUACAUCAGGGUCUCCUCAGAAUGGAUCACAAAGACGAGAUCCUCCAAGCAUGUACGAAGAAAGUUACCCCGUAUCUACUUGAGGUAGAUAACCAUUCUGGAGUAGGAAGGAAAGUUACCCCGUAUCUACUUGAGGUAGAUAACCAUUCUGGAGUAGGAAGGAAAGUUACCCCGUAUCUACUUGAGGUAGAUAAUCAUUAUUAA